CCUACGUGAGACAGCAGUGGGGAAUAUUGCACAAUGGGGGGAACCCUGAUGCAGCGACGCCGCGUGAGUGAAGAAGUAUUUCGGUAUGUAAAGCUCUAUCAGCAGGGAAGAAAAUGACGGUACCUGACUAAGAAGCCCCGGCUAACUACGUGCCAGCAGCCGCGGUAAUACGUAGGGGGCAAGCGUUAUCCGGAUUUACUGGGUGUAAAGGGAGCGCAGACGGCUGUGCAAGUCUGGAGUGAAAGGCGGGGGCCCAACCCCCGGACUGCUCUGGAAACUGUAAAGCUGGAGUGCAGGAGAGGUAAGCGGAAUUCCUAGUGUAGCGGUGAAAUGCGUAGAUAUUAGGAGGAACACCAGUGGCGAAGGCGGCUUACUGGACUGCAACUGACGUUGAGGCUCGAAAGCGUGGGGAGCAAACAGGAUUAGAUACCCCUGUAGUC
rnacentral:rRNA from 1 species